rnacentral:rRNA from 1 species
AUUGAACGCUAGCGGCAGGCCUAACACAUGCAAGUCGAGCGAGCGGCGGACGGGUGAGUAAUGUAUGGGGAUCUGCCCGAUAGCGGGGGAUAACUACUGGAAACGGUGGCUAAUACCGCAUACUAUCGGAUGAACCCAUAUGGGAUUAGCUAGUAGGUGGGGUAAAGGCUCACCAAGGCGACGAUCUCUAGCUGGUUUGAGAGGAGGAUCAGCCACACUGGGACUGAGACACGGCCCAGACUCCUACGGGAGGCAGCAGUGGGGAAUAUUGGACAAUGGGCGAAAGCCUGAUGCAGCCAUGCCGCGUGUAUGAAGAAGGCCUUCGGGUUGUAAAGUACUUUCAGCGGGGAGGCGGUACCCGCAGAAGAAGCACCGGCUAACUACGUGCCAGCAGCCGCGGUAAUAC